GGGAAUUUUGGUCAAUGGCCGCAAGGCUGAACCAGCGACGCCGCGUGCGGGAGGAAGCCCCUCGGGGUGUAAACCGCUGUCAGGGGGGACGAACCGUGGAGUGUCGAACAGGCAUUCCACCUGACGGUACCCCCAACGGAAGCGCCGGCUAACUCCGUGCCAGCAGCCGCGGUAAGACGGAGGGCGCAAGCGUUGUUCGGAAUUACUGGGCGUAAAGCGCGCGCAGGCGGGUUCCGUAAGUCGGGAGUGAAAGACCGGGGCUCAACCCCGGAGCGGCUUCCGAGACUGCGAACCUGGGGACCGGUAGGGGCGGGUGGAAUUCCCGGUGUAGCGGUGGAAUGCGUAGAGAUCGGGAAGAACACCGGUGGCGAAGGCGACCCGCUGGGCCGGAUCCGACGCUGAGGCGCGAAAGCGUGGGGAGCAAA
rnacentral:rRNA from 1 species